rnacentral:tRNA from 1 species
GCGCGGGUGGAGAAACAGCAGACUCGCAAGCUUGAGGGGCUUGUGCCCGUUAAGGGCGUGCAGGUGCAAAUCCUGUCCCGCGCA